rnacentral:rRNA from 1 species
AUUGAACGCUGGCGGCAUGCUUUACACAUGCAAGUCGAACGGUAACAGGCCGCAAGGUGCUGACGAGUGGCGAACGGGUGAGUAAUGCAUCGGGACGUGCCCAGUCGUGGGGGAUAACUACUCGAAAGAGUAGCUAAUACCGCAUACGAUCUAUGGAUGAAAGCGGGGGACCGUAAGGCCUCGCGCGAUUGGAGCGGCCGAUGUCAGAUUAGGUAGUUGGUGGGGUAAAGGCUCACCAAGCCAACGAUCUGUAGCUGGUCUGAGAGGACGACCAGCCACACUGGGACUAAGACACGGCCCAGACUCCCACGGGAGGCAGCAGUGGGGAAUUUUGGACAAUGGGCGCAAGCCUGAUCCAGCAAUGCCGCGUGCAGGAAGAAGGCCUUCGGGUUGUAAACUGCUUUUGUACGGAACGAAACGGCUCUGGUUAAUACCCGGGGCUAAUGACGGUACCGUAAGAAUAAGCACCGGCUAACUACGUG